rnacentral:rRNA from 1 species
UACGUAGGGUGCAAGCGUUGUCCGGAAUUAUUGGGCGUAAAGAGCUCGUAGGUGGCUUGUCGCGUCGGGUGUGAAAGCUUGGGGCUUAACUCCAGGUCUGCAUUCGAUACGGGCUGGCUAGAGGUAUGCAGGGGAGAACGGAAUUCCUGGUGUAGCGGUGAAAUGCGCAGAUAUCAGGAGGAACACCGGUGGCGAAGGCGGUUCUCUGGGCAUUACCUGACGCUGAGGAGCGAAAGUGUGGGGAGCGAACAGG